GGUUUGUGGCUCAGUGGAAGAGUGCUUGCCUAGCAUGUUUGAGGCACUGGGUUUGAUUCUCAGCACUG
rnacentral:tRNA from 1 species